GGCAGAGUGACUAUAUAGAGCAAAAAGAGUGUAACCCUCUUUGGUUUUAUGUGUUUUGGCUCAGGUUGGACAUACUUAUAUAAAUGUGAUCGACAUUGAAGCAGAUGAUCUUCUACAGGAAUUACCUGUGAGAGAAGAGCCUUCAAAUGAUAAUGUUAUCAAACAGCAAAGUGAUCAUCUAGCAGUUCCAUCGUCUGCAGAGUUACAUUAUAUGGCAGCUUCAGUUACUAAUGCUGUUCCCCCACAUAAUUUUAAGAGUCAAGAAGUAACUCCAGCUUGUCUGGAUGGAAAAAGCUUGAGAGCAGGCAUUACAGAAGUGAAGGAGCCUAGUGUCACCUCACUUACACCAUCAGACAUACAGCAGAACAAAGAUCUGCCAAAACCAGAGUUCCGAUUAAAAGGACAGAGCACAAAGUCAGACUCUGCGGAAGAUUAUCUAUUGUGGAAACGGCUGCAAGGU
rnacentral:sRNA from 1 species